rnacentral:rRNA from 1 species
CCUACGGGAGGCUGCAGUGAGGAAUAUUGGUCAAUGGACGAGAGUCUGAACCAGCCAAGUAGCGUGAAGGAUGACUGCCCUAUGGGUUGUAAACUUCUUUUAUAUGGGAAUAAAACGUUCCACGUGUGGGAUUUUGUAUGUACCAUAUGAAUAAGGAUCGGCUAACUCCGUGCCAGCAGCCGCGGUAAUACGGAGGAUCCGAGCGUUAUCCGGAUUUAUUGGGUUUAAAGGGAGCGUAGGUGGGUUGUUAAGUCAGUUGUGAAAGUUUGCGGCUCAACCGUAAAAUUGCAGUUGAAACUGGCAGUCUUGAGUACAGUAGGGGUAGGCGGAAUUCGUGGUGUAGCGGUGAAAUGCUUAGAUAUCACGAAGAACCCGGAUGGCGAAGGCAGUUUACUAAACUGUAACUGACAUUGAUGCUCGAAAGUGAGGGGAUCAAACGGGAUUAGAUACCCCAGUAGUC